rnacentral:rRNA from 1 species
GACGAAGGGGGCUAGCGUUGUUCGGAAUUACUGGGCGUAAAGGGCGCGUAGGCGGUCUUGUUAGUCAGGCGUGAAAGCCCUGGGCUCAACCUGGGAGGUGCGCUUGAUACUGCGAGGCUUGAGUGCAGGAGAGGAUGGUGGAAUUCCCAGUGUAGAGGUGAAAUUCGUAGAUAUUGGGAAGAACACCGGUGGCGAAGGCGGCCAUCUGGACUGCAACUGACGCUGAGGCGCGAAAGCGUGGGGAGCAAACAGG